AAUUAGUACCGAAGUCCGGGAUGGAAGAUGGCGAGAAAAGCUGUGUGUAUUUCUGCGGUGCCCGUACCGCAAACCGACACAGGUAGGUAGGAAGAAGAUUCUAAGGCCAACGGGAGAAGGGUUGUUAAGGAACUCGGCAAAUUGACCCCGUAACCUCGGGAGAAGGGGUGCUCCAGAGAUGGAGCCGCAGAGAAUCGGCCCAAGCAACUGUUUACCAAAAACACAGGUUUGUGCUAAAUCGAAAGAUGACGUAUACGAGCUGACGCCUGCCCGGUGCUGGAAGGUUAAGAGGAGAUGUGCAAGCAUUGAAUCGAAGCCCCAGUGAACGGCGGCCGUAACGAUAACGGUCCUAAGGUAGCGAAAUUCCUUGUCAGGUAAGUUCUGACCCGCAUGAAAGGCGUAAUGAUUUGGGCACUGUCUCGACAGCCCGCCCGGCGAAAUUGUAGUACCGGUGAAGAUGCCGGUUACCCGCGACAAGACGGAAAGACCCCAUGGAGCUUUACUGUAGCCUAAUAUUGGGUUUCGAUGUUGCAUGCACAGGAUAGAUGGGACACUAGGAAGCAAGUGCUUUGGCAUUUGUGGAGUGGCCGUUGGGAUACCAUCCUUGCGAUAUUGGAAUCCUAACCUGCGCCUUUGAAUCAAGGCGGGGGACAUUGUUAGGUGGGCAGUUUGACUGGGGCGGUCGCCUCCUAAAGAGUAACGGAGGCGUUCAAAGGUUCGCUCAGCUUGAACGGAAAUCAAGCAAAAGAGUGCAAACGCAGAAGCGAGCCUAACUGCGAGACUGACGGGUCGAGCAGUAACGAAAGUUGGAGUUAGUGAUCCGGUGGUAUGUGAGUGGAAAUGCCAUCGCUCAACGGAUAAAAGUUACCCUGGGAUAACAGGCUGAUUUCCCCCAAGAGUCCACAUCGACGGGGAGGUUUGGCACCUCGAUGUCGGCUCAUCGCAUCCUGGGGCUGUAUUCGGUCCCAAGGGUUUGGCUGUUCGCCAAUUAAAGCGGUACGCGAGCUGGGUUCAGAACGACGUGAGACAGUUCGGUCCCUAUCUGUCGUGGGCGCAGGAUAUUUGAUGGGAGCUGUUCCUAGUACGAGAGGACCGGAGCGGACGUACCUCUGGCGCACCAGUUGUUCUGCCAAGGGCAUAGCUGGGCAACUGUGUACGGAUCGGAUAAACGCUGAAAGCAUCUAAGCGUGAAGCCGACCCAAAGAUAAGAUAUCCCAUUGUUUCAAACAAGUAAGACCCCUUGAAGACUACAAGGUCGAUAGGCAUGAUGUGUAAGUGGAGUGAUCCAUUCAGCAAGCAUGUACUAAUAGGUCGAGGGCUUGAUC
rnacentral:rRNA from 1 species